rnacentral:lncRNA from 1 species
GGAAGGAGACUCACUUGAACCCAGGAGGCAGAGGUUGCAGUGAGCCAAGAUCGCACCACUGCACUCCAGCCUGGGCAACAGAGCGAGACUCUGUCUCAAAAAAACAAAACAAAACAAAACAAAACAAAAAACUUCUAACCCUUUUUCCUCGUACCUUAUCUUCUUCUGUGCUUCAUACUUUUUAUUUUUUAUUUUUUGCAAUAGGAUCCGGUUUAUUCUGCCUUGGCAGGGUGAUCCUGAGAGUGGUGGGUGUCACCCUCUCCCGGGCGUAGGGAGGGCCAGCGGGCCAGUUAAGCCAAUAGUGGGAGAAGCACUGGUGGGGUGCGGGAUUUGGGGGUCAGGGGUGUAAUCCCGAGAAUGCGGUGAAACCAGGCCGAGGCCUGGAGGCAGCUGUGGUAGGCCAGGGCAGGGUGGAAAGCAGUGGACUGGGACUGGGCCAGGGCGACAGGCCCGAGGACCCAGGCCACACGGGCACCCCGGGAGGUGGUGCGCAGUGUCACAUAACGCAGAACAUGAAUCACAUGCCCAGGGCUCACAGUAAACACAUGGACAAGGGGGCACAGACUCACAGGCCAGAUGGACAUCCAGCCAAGACCAGGCCAGACGAGUGGACACAGGGCCAGUGUCACAUACAGACCAUGGGGAGACAUGGUCCUAAGAGACACACAGACUUGACGUCACAAUGCACAAAGCAGGUCACAGAGCUCAAGGGACCUGGGCAGGGGCCGCUUGGCAUUUCUGCACUGGAAUCCUGUGAGACAAGGGUGGUGGCCGCUCUGGAGGUGCCCGGGGCGGUCCCCUCAAGGCCCCUCCGGGCUUACUCCGUCUUCCACACUGUUGAGCAGCUUUCCUACCUCAUGGCAGAGGAUAAACACUGUGGUCACAUCCAGGCAGACCCGGCCCAGGAACCAGAGUUAAAACUGAAGUAGUAGGUGUUCGUGAGAUUUUGAUGGCUAAGAGCAUCAGGCUCAUUUCGUAACUGAGAGGGAAAUUAGAACACGUCACCACUUCCAUGCGAUCACAGUGCAUUUGGAAUAAUCACCAUGGCAACCCAUGACUUGUAUUUUAGGGGAGAAUUGGAAAUAAAAUGACCAAGCAUAAAGCUGACCCAGUC